GACGAACGCUGGCGGCGUGCCUAACACAUGCAAGUCGAACGGGGCCCGCAAGGGUUCAGUGGCGAACGGGUGCGUAACACGUGAAGAAUUUGUCCAACGGGCGGGGGAUAGCCGGCCCAACGGCCGGGUAAUACCGCGUACGAUCUUCGGGGGGCGAUCCUCUGGAGAUGAAAGCCGCAAGGCGCCGAUGGAGAACUUCGCGGCCUAUCAGCUAGUUGGUGAGGUCAUGGCUCACCAAGGCGACGACGGGUAGCUGGUCCGAGAGGAUGACCAGCCACAUUGGGGACUGAGACACGGCCCAGACUCCUACGGGAGGCAGCAGGUGGGGAAUAUUGCGCAAGUGGGCGAAAGCCUGACGCAGCGACGCCG
rnacentral:rRNA from 1 species